GACGAACGCUGGCGGCGUGCUUAACACAUGCAAGUCGAACGGAAAGACCCUGCUUUUGUGGGGUUCUCGAUUGGCGAACGGGGGUGUAACACGUGAGUAACCUGCCCUUGACUUUGUGAUAACUUCAGGAAACUGGGGCUAAUACCGGAUAGGAGCUCCUGCAGCAUGGGGGGGGUUGGAAAGUUUCGGCGGUUGGGGAUGGACUCGCGGCUUAUCAGCUGGUUGGUGGGGUAGUUGCUUACCAAGGGUUUGACGGAUAGCCGGCCUGAGAGGGUGACCGGGCACCUGGGGACUGCGAUACGGACCAGAAUCCUACGGGAGGCAGUAGUGGGGAAUAUUGCACAAUGGGCGGAAGCCUGAUGCAGCAACGUCGCGUGCGGGAUGCCGGCCUUCGGGUUGUAAACCGCUUUCGCAUGUGACGAAGCGUGAGUGACGGUAAUGGGUAAAGAAGCAACGGCUAACUACGUG
rnacentral:rRNA from 1 species